rnacentral:rRNA from 1 species
GAUGAAACGCUGGCGGCGUGCUUAACACAUGCAAGUCGAACGGGAAUUACUUUAUUGAAACUUCGGUCGAUUUAAUUUAAUUCCAGUGGCGGACGGAUGAGUAACGCGUGGGUAACCUGCCUUAUACAGGGGGAUAACAACCAGAAAUGGUUGCUAAUACCGCAUAAGCGCACAGGACCGCAUGGUCCGGUGUGAAAAACUCCGGUGGUAUAAGAUGGACCCCGCGUUGGAUUAGCUGGUUGGCAGGGUAACGGCCUACCAAGGCGACGAUCCAUAGCCGGCCUGAGAGGGUGAACGGCCACAUUGGGACUGAGACACGGCCCAGACUCCUACGGGAGGCAGCAGUGGGGAAUAUUGCACAAUGGGGGAAACCCUGAUGCAGCGACGCCGCGUGAAGGAAGAAGUAUCUCGGUAAUGUAAACUUCUAUCAGCAGGGAAGAUAGUGACGGUACCUGACUAAGAAGCCCCGGCUAACUACGUGCCAGC